rnacentral:tRNA from 1 species
GCUAUUUUGGCAGAAAAAUGUGAUGAUUUUAGAAGUCAUUAAUAUAUAAUUUAUUAUAUAUGUAGUA